AACGAGAACGAAAUGUGAAGGAGAAGGAUGGGGAUGCGUCUGAUUAGCUUGUUGGCGGGUAACGGCCACCAAGGCAACGAUCAGUAGGGGUUCUGAGAGGAAGGUCCCCACAUUGGAACUGAGACACGGUCCAAACUCCUACGGGAGGCAGCAGUGAGGAAUAUUGGUCAAUGGACGAGAGUCUGAACCAGCCAAGUAGCGUGCAGGAUGACGGCCCUAUGGGUUGUAAACUGCUUUUAUAAGGGAAUAAAGUGAGCCUCGUGAGGCUUUUUGCAUGUACCUUAUGAAUAAGGACCGGCUAAUUCCGUG
rnacentral:rRNA from 1 species